rnacentral:rRNA from 1 species
CCUACGGGUGGCAGCAGUGGGGAAUAUUGGACAAUGGGCGAAAGCCUGAUCCAGCCAUGCCGCGUGUGUGAAGAAGGCCUUCGGGUUGUAAAGCACUUUCAGUGGGGAAGAAAGCCUUGGGGCUAAUACCCUCGAGGAAGGACAUCACCCACAGAAGAAGCACCGGCUAACUCCGUGCCAGCAGCCGCGGUAAUACGGAGGGUGCGAGCGUUAAUCGGAAUUACUGGGCGUAAAGCGCGCGUAGGCGGUCUGAUAAGCCGGUUGUGAAAGCCCCGGGCUCAACCUGGGAACGGCAUCCGGAACUGUCAGGCUAGAGUGCAGGAGAGGAAAGUAGAAUUCCCGGUGUAGCGGUGAAAUGCGUAGAGAUCGGGAGGAAUACCAGUGGCGAAGGCGGCCUUCUGGACUGACACUGACGCUGAGGUGCGAAAGCGUGGGUAGCAAACAGGAUUAGAUACCCUAGUAGUC